GACAGAGGGUGCAAACGUUGCUCGGAAUUACUGGGCGUAAAGCGCGUGUAGGCGGACCACCAAGUCGGACGUGAAAGCCCUGAGCUCAACUCAGGAACUGCAUCCGAAACUGGCGGUCUGGAGUAGUGGAGAGGAAAGCAGAAUUCCUGGUGUAGAGGUGAAAUUCGUAGAUAUCAGGAGGAACACCGAUGGCGAAGGCAGGUCACUGGGCCGCAACUGACGCUGAGGAGCGAAAGCAUGGGGAGCGAACGGG
rnacentral:rRNA from 1 species